CUCCCCACACCUGACACCGAUUAUCUCGUUUAGUGUUGAACGAACCUUUUUCUGGAGAAACCUGAAUUUUCGUGAUUACAAACGGGAAAUUUUGCCCCAGCAUGACGAGAAAAUGACAUUUCCCAUCUUUGCUGUUUUCGCCCGGAAUUACCUGAAAACAAACCAGGCUGGUGAAGGGACCGUAACGGAGGCGCGGUGCCGCUGAAGCAGAACUUCACCUGACGUGGACAAACAGGUGAAGAUGUUUCACCAGAGCCUCCUGGUGAAGUUUGUUGGACUCAGAUGAGAGAUGGGAUGUGGAAACUCCUCACCAACCAGCAGCAGCAGCACCGGAGGUGGGCAACAGUGUGUGUGUCACGUUAGUGCCGAGUAUCGAGCUUGGAUACUUUUAUGGCAUCAGUGGAAUUACUUCAACACCAUCGCAUAUCGAAAAAUACUGAACAUUAACACUGGUAAAUAAUUAUGUAUUUAACAGAAGUUAAGACUGUGGUAAAUAAGUUUAUCUUUUAUGUGAUUAAACUACUUUGAGUUCACAAAAAUCCCAAGGAUUUGAAAAAGUAAACUAAUGAUCUGUACCAGAAUGUGUAAUGUAUGUUAGGAUCACUAAAAGGUAACAGAUAGCAGCACACAGUGUCUCCGUGCAACAACGUUUUCUACAGCUCAUAAUGUUGAAACAGGAAAUAAAGGCUGGAAUAGGUGGUUUGCAAAUGUGAUUAUUAGGACGUGUGAAACUCAGAUGAGAGCAGGAAGUGACAAACAGAAUGAAGAGAUGGAGAAAAGUCUGUGGUGCUAGUUUAAAUGAUAUUAGGAGAAAAGUUAUUAACACAAAACUGCAGCAUAUGUGGAACCUGAUCCUUAUAAAGAGGAGCGAUACAUUUCAUUUUCUUUCUACAUUUCAUUCUAUUCCAACAGAACUGAACGACUUUACUGCUAUGGAGGCAAACUGUCCUGUGCAUAGACGUAAUGGAACAUGUGUCUGUGGUCCUGCAGAUUCACCCAGAAACAAACAUUCAGUGCACGGUGCCUCUCCACAUUAAUGUUAUGGUUGUUUACUUAACAUAGGUUAACUGCUCUCAAAGGUCUGGUGACACACCACUAAAGAUGUCGGAUGAUCAUCGUGAAACAGGACGAAGAAGUCACUGCAGCUCGUGGCAGUUCCACAGCAGCGGAGAGCGACAGGGACCUGGGGUCACUCAGGAGGCCACUGUUGGGGAAUGGACUCUUGACGCCAACGAACAUCCAGGACGCAUUCACUUCAAAAUAAAAGCUCUACAGACAAAGACUGUCACAGAGGGCCCAGCAGAGCCUUGUCUCCAGAGCAGCUUCAGUUAAGUUGUGUAAUAAUGGGCUUAAAGCCGAUCUUUACUGUAACUCCUACUAAUUAAAUCAUAUUUACUUGAUAAAUGGACUCAACCAGAGGCGGUCAUCGUCACUGGGUCCACUGUCUAAUUCAUUUGUCAGUUCUAACCAGAGAAAGUGUCUACUUCCUGGGAGUGAGUCACCUUUGUCUUGUGUGUCUCUGUGUGAACCCACAGCUGCUGCAGGAGGAUGAGUGAGGAGAGGAAACCCUGCAGGCUCCUCGGCGCUGUUGCCAGGAGCCCGGCCGGUCUCCAGCAGAGCCAAUCAUCUCUCUCAGCGUCCCCCACUCAGGAGCUAAGUGACUGUGGAGCCUGUUGUUUUGCCAUGACUGACUGAUGACAGACUGGUGUGCUGUUCAUGGAAACAUGUCCACCUGCACUUUUUAAAGCUGUGAGUUUGCCGUGCAGGCCGUGGCAGGAGGCUGCAGGCUGUGACUCCACUGGGAGCUCGUCAUUUGGCUGCAUGCUGUGUAAAGCAGCACAGCAGUCCAUCUGUCAGCAGAGGACAGAGGGGUGAGUAGGAGAUUUGUCUUAUUGUCAGCACAGGAAAAGACCACAGUGAAUAUCUCCCACUAACAAGUAUGGUGUGACGUGUUUCUUUGUGAAGCUUCGUGUCACAGCUCUUGUGUUUCCCAGAAAACCUUCUGGAAACUUCCUUAUAAUUUCCUAAAAAUGAACUGGUGUUUAGCUGUAAACUUCCAAGAAAGUCCUCUGUAAUUUGGUCCUAAUUAUCAGGGAGAAAGAGAGAAAAUCAGAAUCGGGCCAGAAAGUUGCAGUCGGUUAAUCUCUAAAUAUUACAGCUUUAUCCUUUAAUACAAAUGCGACCAUCCGUCACACUGAGCAGCAGCAGCAUGCGCUCAUAUUUUGCUAUAUAUAAUAUUAAGACCAAAGCUUCCAGAGACCUUCGCUGUCUAAUAGCAGUAGCAGCUCAACCUGAACUUACCUGGAGUUUGGUUUGUGUGGAAUAAGGACCUGCAGGCUCUUGUCUCAGUCCCCAGGGGCCCCCCAGCAGGCAGUUUCUGCUGCAAGAGGUUGUUGUGGUCUUCUUGGAGCAUUCACACACAUACAGCUGAGUUUGUUGUCGUUUACCUUUGUGUUUGUCUGGCACCGGCUCUCACUGUUUGUGCAGGAAGCUGCUGACUGCUAAGUUUGCACACAGGCCGAGUGAUUCACUUGAGUGAUUGCUGGAAUUCUUUGUCUUCUCUGAUAUUAAACCAAAUAUGUUUUGGACUCAUGAUCAGCCACUAAAACCAUAUGGAUUUUACAUUGAUAUCACAGAGAGGGCUGCACGAUUCAUUGUUUUGUGAGCGUGAUUUAGAUCCCUGUGUGAUCUGUCUUACAUCACAUUGAUUGUCAUGUUUGCAUUAGCAGGGAGAUCCCUUGCAUCAAAUUAAGUGCGCCCUUUGCGGUGUAUUUCUGUCUCAGCUGCUGUUUGGCGCUAGGUGGACAGGGCAGGCAGUGCAACCUCUGAACAACAAGACAACACAGAACAUCUUUCACAAUGUCAAACAUGUAGGAUUCGUUUUUGAAUCAGUGUUCUCUUCCUGUCUGCAGCUCAAUACGUGAUGCAGUGCGUUCCUGCUAUUGGUUAACGCAGCUUGGUGAGGAAAAGGGAGAGCUUGGUUUGUUGCCAGGCAUCUCCCUGUUAAUGCAAACACGGCAUCAUUGUCACAGGAGACCGAGAUGGCACAGGGAUCUGAAUCAUGCUUACAAAACAAUUAAUCGCAGUUGCAGAUGUUGGGUAUUUUUAGUCAGAUAGAUAUUGGUUAGAUACUUGAUGUAUUAGAAAUGUUUGGAGUAGACAGGAUGU